rnacentral:rRNA from 1 species
GACGAACGCUGGCGGCGUGCCUAAUACAUGCAAGUCGAGCGCCCCGCAAGGGGAGCGGCAGACGGGUGAGUAACGCGUGGGAAUCUACCGAGCCCUAAGGAAUAGCUCCGGGAAACUGGAAUUAAUACCUUAUACGCCCUUCGGGGGAAAGAUUUAUCGGGGUUUGAUGAGCCCGCGUUGGAUUAGCUAGUUGGUGGGGUAAAGGCCUACCAAGGCGACGAUCCAUAGCUGGUCUGAGAGGAUGAUCAGCCACAUUGGGACUGAGACACGGCCCAAACUCCUACGGGAGGCAGCAGUGGGGAAUAUUGGGCAAUGGGCGCAAGCCUGAUCCAGCCAUGCCGCGUGAGUGAUGAAGGCCCUAGGGUUGUAAAGCUCUUUCACCGGUGAAGAUAAUGACGGUAACCGGAGAAGAAGCCCCGGCUAACUUCGUGCCAGCCGCCGCAGUAA